rnacentral:lncRNA from 1 species
AGUUGGGUUUUACGAUAUUGUUUGGCUCGGGUUCUCAUCUGAUGUUGAUUUGUAGGUUGAGGUGGUGGCGGGUUUGUAUUUUGAGAGGAUGAAGAUGAAGAUGAAGUUUGAGUUUGGGACAGAACAAGUGAUAUUUGUGGCUGAGGAGUUGUGGAGGCUACGGGUUGGUUCGAGGAUGUAGGAGCGGGGAGAGAGGAUGGUGUACCUGUCUAAUUCCUUACAGAAGUCAUCUGGUCUCCACUAACAUUUCUAAGGAUAGACGACCUCUGUUCUGCAGUAGAUGGAGUUUCAGAGAUUACCGGAGAUGGAGUUGGCACGAUCGUCUGAUGAGGGACCGAGCUCGGGGGCGCUGUUGAACUAGUAGAUACGAGUGGCCGGCUAGGGACUGGUAAGGCUAUAGGAUAAGAAUGUAUGGGUUCUGGUGUUUGCGGUUUGACGGUUGAGGAAGAUUUGGGUUGAGGAUUACGAUAUGGGGAAGAGUCUUCGACAAACUGAACAUGUC